GAGUGAGCACAAAGGGGCCUGAAGGAGUUAAGCGCUCGAGCUGCGCUGGGCGUUGCCAGGCGAAGCGAGUGUCGCCGAGGCCGCUACAGUUGGCCUCUCGCUGGCCCAGCCCAGCCCAUGGAUCCCGAGUGGAGAACACGAGCACCGCCGGGCUCGCUGGCGAGCUCCCAGGCGGGGCGCCCCGGCCUCUCAAGGAUGGCCGAGCGAAGGUUACCCGGGCGAGCAGGACCCACGGAAAUAACUGGUAAUAAGACCUCUGUAGCCAUGGCUAGUUCUGACGUGAAACCAAAAUCAGUAAGUCAUGCCAAAAAGUGGUCAGAAGAGAUAGAAAAUCUGUACAGAUUUCAACACGCAGGAUAUCGAGAUGAAAUUGAAUAUAAACAAGUGAAGCAAGUUUCUAUGGUAGAUCGUUGGCCAGAGACAGGAUAUGUGAAGAAACUUCAGAGACGGGACAAUACUUUCUAUUACUACAACAGACAGAGGGAAUGUGAUGACAAGGAAGUCCACAAAGUGAAAAUUUAUGCUUACUAGCCUUACCUCUUGGUAUUACCUGUCAUUAUCUUUUUAAAAAUCCACUGUUUGAUUCUACAUCAUUACAGUCCCUUGAAAAGGACAGUAGUACAGCACAACAGCUGGCAUCCAGGGGCUGGCAUCGAGUGAGCCGGCAAGAAGAGUUACUGACUGGAGGAGGGAGAGGAGGUGGGCGACGGUAGAGCUGAAGGAUCGUCAGCAAUAGGAGACGGAGGGCAAGCGGCAAUUCCACUCACGCCUGACACUGAUGGAACGCACGUUCGCAUCUUGGAAAGUUCACAACUUGAAGGUCCUGUUUUCCAGAACUACCUGCCCCACGAAGCUCCGUUAGUUUUUCCCAGUUCAAAACUGUGCCUUUGGGACUUCCCUGGUGGCGCAGUGGUUAAGAAUCCGCCUGCCAAGGCAGGGGACACGGGUUCGAGCCAUGGUCCAGGAAGAUCCCACAUGCGGCAGAGCAGCUAAGCCUGUGCACCACAACUACUGAGCCUGCGCUCUAGAGCCCGUGAGCCACAACUACUGAGCCCGUGUGCCACAACUACUGAGCCCGCGCGCCUAGAGCCCGUGCUCCACAAGAGAAGCCACCGCAAUGAGAAGCCCGCGCACCGCAACGAAGACCCAACGCAGCCAAAAAUAAAUAAAUAAAAUA